rnacentral:tRNA from 1 species
GGCAGUGUGGCCGAGUUGGUUAUGGCGUGAGGUUAAGGUCACCUUAGCAAUCUAAUUCCUCAUGGAGCAAUCCGCGUGGGUUCAAGUCCCACCGCUGUCA